rnacentral:rRNA from 1 species
AUGAAUGGUGUUUUGACAAAAGGUGGAAAGAAAUAUUUCAUGACGUUAAUUGACGACUCCACUAGAUACUGUCGUGUGUAUCUUCUGAAAUUUAAGGAUGGGUCUUUGAACUUUUUCAAGAUCUAUAAAGCUGAAGUGGAAAACCAACUUGAUCGAAAAAUCAAGAGGCUUAGGUCCGACCAUGGUGGAGAGUAUUUUUCCAAUGAAUUUGAUGCUUUUUGUACGGAACAUGGUAUAAUCCAUGAGAGAACGCCUCCCUACUCACCUCAGUCAAAUGGGGUGGCCGAAAGAAAGAACCGUACUCUAACUGAUUUGGUUAACGCCAUGUUAGACACAUCGGGUCUCUCCAAGGCAUGGUGGGGGGAGGCGAUAUUGACAGCAUGUCAUGUCCUAAACCAAGUCCACACAAAGAACAAAGGGAUAACUCCAUUCAAGGAAUGGGAGAAUAAAAGGUUAAAGCUCUCUUGUCUACGAACCUGGGGUUGUUUGGCGAAAGUCAAUGUGCCAAUUCCAAAGAAGCGCAAACUUGGACCAAAGACCGUGGAUUGUGUUUUCCUGGGAUAUGCUUUUCAUAGCAUUGGUUAUAGAUUCUUGGUUGUAAAAUCUGAGGUACCUGACAUGCAUAUUGGUACGAUCAUGGAGUCGAAUGAUGCGACUUUCUUUGAAGAUAUCUUUCCCAUGAAGGAUAUGGCUACCUCAUCUAAUCAAAAAAUGCCUAGUUCAUCGAAUCAGGAACCAGUUACAAUUACCGAACCUGCAAUUUCAAUGGAACACUUUGAAAGUCCCGUGGAGGAGAACAAUGAAGUUCCUACUAGGAGCAAGAGACAGAGGACUGCAAAGUCCUUUGGUGAUGAUUUUCUUGUGUAUCUCAUAGAUGACACUCCCAGUUAUAUUUCAAAGGCCUAUGCAUCUGAAGAUGCUGACUACUGGAAGGAAGCGGUUCGUAGCGAGAUGGAUUCCAUCUUGGCGAAUGAAACUUGGGAGAUAACUGGUCGUCCUUAUGGGUGCAAACCUAUAGGAUGCAAAUGGGUAUUCAAGAAGAAGCUUAGGCUUGAUGGUACUAUUGAAAAGUACAAGGCUUGGCUCGUGGCUAAGGGUUAUACCCAAAAGGAAGGUGAAGACUUCUUUGAUACUUACUCACCUGUGGCUCGACUGACCACUAUUCGAGUUCUACUUUCACUAGCUGCCUCGCAUGGGCUUCUCGUUCAUCAAAUGGAUGUUAAGACUGCUUUCCUAAAUGGAGAGUUGGACGAGGAAAUUUAUAUGGAACAACCAGAUGGGUUUGUACUAGAUGGUCAGGAAAGAAAAGUGUGCAAGUUGCUGAAGUCUUUGUAUGGACUCAAGCAAGCACCCAAACAGUGGCAUGAGAAGUUUGAAAGAACUUUAACAGCUGCAGGCUUUGUUGUAAACGAAGCUGACAAAUGUGUGUACUAUCGCCAUGGUGGGGGCGAGGGAGUUAUCCUUUACUUGUAUGUUGACGACAUACUGAUUUUCGGAACAAAUCUGAAUGUUGUUAAGGAGGUCAAGGACUUUCUAUCUUGCUGUUUUGAGAUGAAAGAUUUAGGAGUGGCUGAUGUCAUUCUAAACAUCAAGUUGUUGAGAGACGAUGAUGAUGGGAUCGCAUUGCUUCAAUCUCACUACGUGGAAAAGAUCUUGAGUCGCUUUGGCUAUAGUGACUGCAAGCCCUCUCCAACACCAUAUGAUGCGAGUGUGUUGCUUUGA